rnacentral:snRNA from 1 species
GUGCUCACUUGGGCAGCACAUAUACUGAAAUUGGAAUGAUAUGGAGAAGAUUAGCAUGGUCCCUGUGCAAGAAUGCCAUGCAAAUUUGUGAAGUGUUCCAUAUUUUU